rnacentral:rRNA from 1 species
GAUGCCCGCUCUCUUCUUUCUUAACACAUGCGAGUCGAACGGAAAGGCUCCUGCUUUCCGGGGUACUCGAGUGGCGAACGGGUGAGUAACACGUGGGUGAUCUGCCCUGCACUUCGGGAUAAGCCUGGGAAACUGGGUCUAAUACCGGAUAGGACGAUGGUUUGGAUGCCAUUGUGGAAAGAUUUUUCGGUGUGGGGUGAGCUCGCGGCCUAUCAGCUUGUUGGUGGGGUAAUGGCCUACCAAGGCGUCGACGGGUAGCCGGCCUGAGAGGGUGUACGGCCACAUUGGGACUGAGAUACGGCCCAGACUCCUACGGGAGGCAGCAGUGGGGAAUAUUGCACAAUGGACGGAAGCCUGAUGCAGCGACGCCGCGUGGGGGAUGACGGCAUUCGGGUUGUAAACUCCUUUCGCUAGGGACGAAGCGCAAGUGACGGUACCUGGAGAAGAAGCAACGGCUAACUACGUG